rnacentral:rRNA from 1 species
GUGAGGAAUAUUGGUCAAUGGACGCGAGUCUGAACCAGCCAAGUAGCGUGAAGGAUGACUGCCCUAUGGGUUGUAAACUUCUUUUAUAAGGGAAUAAAGUGAGGGACGUGUCCCUUUUUGUAUGUACCUUAUGAAUAAGGAUCGGCUAACUCCGUGCCAGCAGCCGCGGUAAUACGGAGGAUCCAAGCGUUAUCCGGAUUUAUUGGGUUUAAAGGGAGCGUAGGUUGACAUAUAAGUCAGCUGUGAAAGUUUACGGCUCAACCGUGAAAUUGCAGUUGAUACUGUAUGUCUUGAGUGUACAAGAGGUGGGCGGAAGUCGUGGUGUAGCGGUGAAAUGCUUAGAUAUCACGAAGAACUCCAAUUGCGAAGGCAGCUCACUGGGGUACAACUGACACUGAGGCUCGAAAGUGUGGGUAUCAAACAGGAUUAGAAACCCUAGUAGUCC